AGCGAACGCUGGCGGCAGGCCUAACACAUGCAAGUCGAACGGACCUUUCGGGGUUAGUGGCGGACGGGUGAGUAACACGGGGGAACGUGCCUUUAGGUUCGGAAUAACUCAGGGAAACUUGUGCUAAUACCGAAUGUGCCCUUCGGGGGAAAGAUUUAUUGCCUUUAGGGCGGCCCUCGUCUGAUUAGCUAGUUGGGUGAGGUAAUGGCUCACCAAGGCGACGAUCAGUAGCUGGGCUGAGGGGAUGGAAAGGCACAUUGGGACUGAGACACGGCCCAAACCUCCUCGGGGGGCAGGAGUGGGGUAUCCUGCCGCAUGGGGCAAAACCCUACGGCGCCCAGCCGGGGGAAUUGAGAAGGUCUUAGGAUUGGAAAAUUCUUUCCCCCGGGGACAUAAUGACGGUACCCGGAGAAGAAGCCCCGGCUAACUUCGUG
rnacentral:rRNA from 1 species